AAGGAAUAUUGGUCAAUGGACGCAAGUCUGAACCAGCCAUGCCGCGUGAAGGAUGAAGGUCCUCUGGAUUGUAAACUUCUUUUAUCUGGGACGAAAACGGGAUUUUUAUCUCAAUUGACGGUACCAGAGGAAUAAGCACCGGCUAACUCCGUGCCAGCAGCCGCGGUAAUACGGAGGGUGCGAGCGUUAUCCGGAUUUACUGGGUUUAAAGGGUGCGUAGGUGGGCUUAUAAGUCAGUGGUGAAAUCUCCGAGCUUAACUUGGAAACUGCCGUUGAUACUAUAGGUCUUGAAUUAUCUGGAGGUAAGCGGAAUAUGUCAUGUAGCGGUGAAAUGCUUAGAUAUGACAUAGAACACCAAUUGCGAAGGCAGCUUACUACAUAUAAAUUGACGCUGCGGCACGAAAGCGUGGGGAUCAAACA
rnacentral:rRNA from 1 species